rnacentral:rRNA from 1 species
UAGGGAAUCUUCGGCAAUGGACGAAAGUCUGACCGAGCAACGCCGCGUGAGUGAAGAAGGUUUUCGGAUCGUAAAACUCUGUUGUUAGAGAAGAACAAGGACGUUAGUAACUGAACGUCCCCUGACGGUAUCUAACCAGAAAGCCACGGCUAACUACGUGCCAGCAGCCGCGGUAAUACGUAGGUGGCAAGCGUUGUCCGGAUUUAUUGGGCGUAAAGCGAGCGCAGGCGGUUUCUUAAGUCUGAUGUGAAAGCCCCCGGCUCAACCGGGGAGGGUCAUUGGAAACUGGGAGGCUUGAGUGCAGAAGAGGGGAGUGGAAUUCCAUGUGUAGCGGUGAAAUGCGUAGAUAUAUGGAGGAACACCAGUGGCGAAGGCGGCUCUCUGGUCUGUAACUGACGCUGAGGCUAGAAAGCGUGGGGAGCAAACAGG